GCCCGCUCAGAAACUUAACGGAAUUGACGGGGGCCCGCACAAGCGGUGGAGCAUGUGGUUUAAUUCGAUGAUACGCGAGGAACCUUACCUGGGCUCAAAUGUAUGUUGACGUUAUUUCUGAAAGGGAUACUUCUUCGGACAAUAUACAAGGUGCUGCAUGGUUGUCGUCAGCUCGUGCCGUGAGGUGUCGGGUUAAGUCCCAUAACGAGCGCAACCCCUACUGCUAGUUGCCAGCGGGUCAUGCCGGGGACUCUAGCGGAACUGCCAGCGUAAGCUGCGAGGAAGGUGGGGAUGACGUCAAAUCAGCACGGCCCUUACGUCCAGGGCUACACACGUGUUACAAUGGCCAGUACAGAGGGCAGCCACCCCGCGAGGGGGCGCUAAUCCUAAAAGCUGGUCCCAGUUCGGAUCGGAGUCUGCAACCCGACUCCGUGAAGCUGGAUUCGCUAGUAAUCGCGCAUCAGCCACGGCGCGGUGAAUACGUUCCCGGGCCUU
rnacentral:rRNA from 1 species